CGAUGAUGCCUGUACCACCCAUCUAUCGCUCCGUCGGCUGAGGUGCCGGAAACAAACCGGGCGGCAAACGGCUCUGAUCCUUGACGGACGCAGGCGGUGUGGCGUCUGGAUCGGGCCGGGCGGGAUUGCGCGGAGUGUCGAUGUUCUGCCUUAGGAAGUGGCGGCGCUGUUCCGCCCAAACCUUUCGGCAUUCGGCAAGUCUGUCUUUUUGCUCGUAUCCAACUGAACGACAUCGCUCGAGCUCGGCUGUCUGG
rnacentral:misc_RNA from 1 species